AGUGAACGCUGGCGGUAGGCCUAACACAUGCAAGUCGAACGGCAGCAUAGUAAGAGCUUGCUCUUACGGGUGGCGAGUGGCGGACGGGUGAGGAAUACAUCGGAAUCUACUUUUUCGUGGGGGAUAACGUAGGGAAACUUACGCUAAUACCGCAUACGACCUACGGGUGAAAGCAGGGGAUCUUCGGACCUUGGGCGAUUGAAUGAGCCGAUGUCGGAUUAGCUAGUUGGCGGGGUAAAGGCCCACCAAGGCGACGAUCCGUAGCUGGUCUGAGAGGAUGAUCAGCCACACUGGAACUGAUACACGGUCCAGACUCCUACGGGAGGCAGCAGUAGGGAAUAUUGGACAAUGGGCGCAAGCCUGAUCCAGCCAUACCGCGUGGGUGAAGAAGGCCUUCGGGUUGUAAAGCCCUUUUGUUGGGAAAGAAAAGCAGCAGGUUAAUACCCCGCUGUUCUGACGGUACCCAAAGAAUAAGCACCGGCUAACUUCGUG
rnacentral:rRNA from 1 species